AGUGAACGCUGGCGGUAGGCCUAACACAUGCAAGUCGAACGGCAGCACAGUAAGAGCUUGCUCUUACGGGUGGCGAGUGGCGGACGGGUGAGGAAUACAUCGGAUUCUACUUUUUCGUGGGGGAUAACGUAGGGAAACUUACGCUAAUACCGCAUACGACCUACGGGUGAAAGCAGGGGAUCUUCGGACCUUGCGCGAUUGAAUGAGCCGAUGUCGGAUUAGCUAGUUGGCGGGGUAAAGGCCCACCAAGGCGACGAUCCGUAGCUGGUCUGAGAGGAUGAUCCGCCACACUGGAACUGAGACACGGUCCAGACUCCUACGGGAGGCAGCAGUGGGGAAUAUUGGACAAUGGGCGCAAGCCUGAUCCAGCCAUACCGCGUGGGUGAAGAAGGCCUUCGGGUUGUAAAGCCCUUUUGUUGGGAAAGAAAAGCAGCAGGUUAAUACCCCGCUGUUCUGACGGUACCCAAAGAAUAAGCACCGGCUAACUUCGUG
rnacentral:rRNA from 1 species